rnacentral:rRNA from 1 species
GACGAACGCUGGCGGCGUGCUUAACACAUGCCAGUCGAACGGAAAGGCCCUGCUUUUGUGGUGUGCUCGAGUGGCGAACGGGUGAGUAACACGUGAGUAACCUGCCCUUGACUUUGGGAUAACUUCAGGAAACUGGGGCUAAUACCGGAUAGGAUCUCCUGCUGCAUGGUGGGGGUUGGAAAGUUUCGGCGGUUGGGGAUGGACUCGCGGCUUAUCAGCUUGUUGGUGGGGUAGUGGCUUACCCAGGCUUUGAGGGGUAGCCGGCCUGAGAGGGUGACCGGCGACAUUGGGACUGAGGUAAGGCCCAGACGGGUACGGUAGGCAGCAGGGGGGAAGAUUGCACAAUGGACGGAGGCCUGAUGCAGCAGCGCCGCGUGCGGGAUAACGGCCUUCGGGGGGAAAACCGCUUUCGCCUGAAACGAACCGUGAUUGACGGUAAUGGGUAAAGAAGCACCGGCUAACUACGUG